rnacentral:lncRNA from 1 species
AUGGAUGAUGCCUCUUUGGGUUUUACUCCUGAUUUUCUGGGCUUUUCCCACAAUGCCAGAGCAGCCUUCUCACCCUGGAAAUUUGAUUUGCCUCUGUGGUUCCUUAUUAUAUUUGAUGGUACCUUUAUUUUAAGGAAAGUAUCCAGGCCAACCAUGCCUUCAUCCUUCUAUGAUCUUCAUUCUUUAUUAUUCUCUGGACUUUCUCCCACCAUGUUCUCCAUUCAUUUGAAGAUAUCCUCUUUUACCUCUGAAGCCUUCCCUUUAAUAAAGAAAACCAGUAAGGAAAACCAGUCAGCUUGAGGUAUGAAAUAUUUUACACCUGUAAUAAUCCCACGUUUGUACCAAUAAUAAAAAGUUCUGUUUCAUCUGGUGCUCCCUGGGA